GUGGAGCAGCUCGGUAGCUCGCUGGGCUCAUAACCCAGAGGUCGUAGGUUCAAAUCCUGCC
rnacentral:tRNA from 1 species